rnacentral:misc_RNA from 1 species
UUUCUUUUUUUUUUUUUUUCAUUUGGUGGCUUGGAUUGAAGACUAUAAUAUACUGCACUGGACCAAUCAACAUGCCGUGGGCAUUUUCUUCUCUGAGUUAUUGUGUGAAGUGUGUGCGCUUUGUGGUAUUCUUUCGUGUGAUUCUGUAACCCAUUUCACUUGAUUGCGGAAUCACUUUAUUUUCUGUCUUGUGAUAUUUCUUGAUACUAGUCUAUUUGGAGGUUGAGAAUGUACAUUGCGAUUACCUUGAAGAGAUACAGAGCAGUUAAAGAAGCUGGUGAGAUUAAAAUGCAUGUGGGGAGUGUUGCUUAUUACCAAUUGAUGCUAGUUUGUCAGGCUGAGUACUUCCGUCAGUUGCUUAAACCUGUAACGUAGUCUGCUAAAGUGUAAGCUUUGGGGAGGUUGGGAUUGCUUACUUCUUGUUGCUCUUAUUCAGCAAAGCCUGUUGAAGUUGGGAUUUUUUGCUUCUCUUUCAGUGUAUACGAAAUCAGAAUGACCUCAUUAAGCACUGAAUGUGGUUACUGUUGAUUGGAAUUGUCAGUGCUUUUUUACUACAACUAAUACACCUUGAACAUUACUCUCUUUUGCCUGUGCCUUUCGUAACUCUUAGCUACUUUCAUUUUUAAAACAUCCCAAGUGGAAAACACUUUUCUAGUCCAGUUUAUUGGAUCUUUGACUUAGUUACUCAUGCAGAAUAACUAUCAAUUUUCCCCUCAAAUUCAAAAGCCUUUUGUCUCUCUGGAAGACCAAGCAGCUGGUGGUAAUAUAUUUGAUAUUCCUGUUCCAUCCGUCUUUGAUACAAUGGCACUUCCUACUAGUUUCAAAUCUUCUGUGCCCUUUCAUGGUUUUGAAUUUCAGUCCUCUGAGGCAUGUCCAAAGAAUUUCAUCAUCUUUGAUCAGACUGAUUACCGGAGCCAGAUCAUGUACCACCCUGCCAUGACCUCCAAAUUCCCAUAUCCUGAUCUGAAUUAUAAUUCAACUUGCUUCCACGACUGCAUGGAGAGAAAAAUUGCAAACAAUGAGAAUACAGAAGUUUCUUCAUAUCUGAAGGAAGAUUCAGAUGAUAUAAAUGCAUUGCUCAGCUUGGAAGAGGAAGAACGUGAGGAAUGUGAUGAAGAAGAGGUGAGCACUGCACGCACUGAUGCAAACUAUGGAUGCAGUUCCCCUGAAUCAUACUCAAACUAUCAUUGUCAAUCCAAAAAGAGCAGGACCUCUUCUUUCAGGGAAUCCUCUGGUAGCAGUACUAGCAAUUGCAGUGAGAGAAAACGCAGGAAACUUAAGAAGAUGGUCAAGGCAUUAAAGGGAAUCGUCCCUGGUGCCAGCAGGAUGAAUACUGUCACCGUUCUUGAUGAAGCUGUCAGAUACCUCAAGUCACUUAAGGUGGAAGUGCAGAAGCUUGGAGUCGAUAAUCUGAAGACAUAUGCCUGAUAUCCUUUGUGGUAUAGGUAAUUUCGCUUCCUUUAUCACCGUCACAUGAUUAUGAACCCUAGUCAUAUCUUUUGCUUAUGUGAAGAAGAACUACUUAUACCGUCGUAUUGCUGAGUUGCUGCUCUGGAGGGGGUAACGUAACGUAGAAUAUGGUCCUUUGUCCAGCGAUAGGACAAUAAGUCUGCUGUAGUAGCUAGCUGCUAUAUCUAAUUUCUCAUUCUAGCAUAUAGUAUGUUUCCACUAGUUGCAAACUCUAUUAAGGCAUUUGAAUAAUUUCUCCAAUAUGUGACACUCUUUCACCUAUUGGAGCUGCUAUUUGUUAUUGUUGUUGUAUGACUUUGAUGAUUUGUUUUAAUGGAUAAUGGGUUGAUG